UCAGGUGACAGCAGAUGCUGGCGA
rnacentral:piRNA from 1 species